rnacentral:rRNA from 1 species
CCUACGGGGGGCAGCAGUGAGGAAUAUUUGUCAAUGGACGAGAGUCUGAACCAGCCAAGUAGCGUGAAGGAUGACUGCCCUAUGGGUUGUAAACUUCUUUUAUAUGGGAAUAAAAUGUUCCACGUGUGGGAUUUUGUAUGUACAAUAUGAAUAAGGAUCGGCUAACUCCGUGCCAGCAGCCGCGUUAAUACGGAGGAUCCGAGCGUUAUCCGGAUUUAUUGGGUUUAAAGGGAGCGUAGGUGGAUUGUUAAGUCAGUUGUGAAAGUUUGCGGCUCAACCGUAAAAUUGCAGUUGAAACUGGCAGGCUUGAGUACAGUAGAGGUGGGCGGAAUUCGUGGUGUAGCGGUGAAAUGCUUAGAUAUCACGAAGAACUCCGAUUGCGAAGGCAGCUCACUGGACUGCAACUGACACUGAGGCUCGAAAGUGUGGGUAUCAAACAGGAUUAGAUACCCGAGUAGUC